AUUCCAGCUUCAGUAGCGUAUAUUAAAGUUGUUGCAGUUAAAAAGCUCGUAGUCGCAUUUCUGGCGAGAGGAAUUGGUCCGACAUUUAUUGUGGGUACUCGAUUCUCUCUCGCCAUCCUUGAGUGGUCCGUUCUGGCAUUUAGUUGUCGGAGCGUCAGCCGCUCAUCGUUUACUGUGAGAAAAUUAGAGUGUUCAAAGCAGGCUUAUGCCGUUGAAUAUAUUAGCAUGGAAUAAUAAGAUAGGACCUCGGUGCUAUUUUGUUGGUUUGCGCACAGAGGUAAUGAUGAACAGGGACAGUUGGGGGUAUUUGUAUUUCGUCGUCAGAGGUGAAAUUCUUAGAUUUACGAAAGACAAACUACUGCGAAAGCAUUUACCAAGGAUGUUUUCAUUG
rnacentral:rRNA from 1 species